UACGGAGGGUGCAAGCGUUAUCCGGAUUCACUGGGCGUAAAGGGUGCGCAGGUGGGUUGGCAAGUUCGAUGUGAAAGCCCCGGGCUUAACCCGGGAAUGGCAUUGGAUACUGCUGAUCUGGAGGAUCGGGAGGGGGGACUGGAAUUCUUGGUGUAGCAGUGAAAUGCGUAGAUAUCAAGAGGAACACCAGUGGCGAAGGCGAGUCCCUGGACGAUACCUGACACUGAGGCACGAAAGCGUGGGGAGCAAACAGG
rnacentral:rRNA from 1 species